GGGUGAGGCGCAACUUGCUGCGAAACCCUUUCUUUCAUAUAUCGUCACCGAGUCACUCGCUCACUCCCUCUUUUUCCAUUCCAGUGUAGUCACCGCUGGCACCGCUCAAGUCUCUCUCUCUCUCUCUCUCUCUCAAUUGAAGUCCGCCGGUCAGCAGUGGCCGGGAGAAUGGUACUUUGAGGAUACUGAGACCGCCCCUCCUUUUUCUAAUUCUCUCUCACUCCCUGUUGAAUGGAGAUGGAGAUGGAAGGGGAUGAAGGAGAUCCAAGCUUGGCAUUGGUUCAUGUGAAGGAAGAUGCUUUAUCAGUCUUAUCAUCCAUUAGACGUGAAAAGAAGCUCCAACUAACGAAAAAGAGGUGGCUGAUGGGUGUGCCAAAAGAUUUCAAGCUUUCUAAACAUUCUUUCAAUUAUCUUAGGAAGCCCAUAUUUUCUGCAGAUAUAUAUAUUUCGGAAGCAUUUUUGAGGAAUGAUGAUGUCUUUUUGGAAGUAGCCAGAGGAUAUUUAGCGAACUGCUUUUCAUCAUUUAAUAAAGGCCUGCCUAUGGGGAAUUUUGUCAAUGAAAUCGUAUUUCCUUUUAGUGAAGAUGUAGGGACAUCUCAAACAAGGAAAUGUUCUGUAGUUCGGAGGGUUUUCCUGCCUAUGCUUGAUGAUCUGAGCAACAAUUCUCUCUGCUUUCUUGCUGAUCUAGUUACAAGGAAGUCGGUAAAAUUUGAGAAAACCCGUCCUCGUUUGGUUAGUGUUAUCAAGAAAUAUCUUCCUUUGAUUUUUGAAAACCCUAGCUCGUUUGAAGAUGCUGCAAGGCUACAAACCCAGAUUAUGGAAGUGUUUAGGGAUCCAAAAAGAUUCAAAAAUCACAUCCGAUUCAUUAGCAAGUCCUCCACAUCUUGUGUUCGUGAUGUGGAUGUGAUACUAGAGAGACUAGAAGACUUGUCUCUUCAUGCUCUUGAUGCAAUGAGAAGAAAGCUUUGCAUGUGGCCUUGUUCUCUUUAUACAGAACCUUGUACAAAUCGAAAUAAGAAGCAGUUGAUUGGGAUGCUGAGAAAGAAAAUUGAUAGUCUUUUGGGAGAUGGGUUGCCAGAUAAUCUGGCAAGAGCUCUAAGAGUUGCAAGCUUGUCAAUGAAGCUGAUGAAUGGGCAUUUUGAUAGUACAUUGCCAGAGUUUUUUGAGGUUCCUCAUGAAAUUGAAGCUUUGCAGAAUGAAAUCCUUAAAGCUAUUUGGUCUGUCCCCAAUCUUCCACUUGAUGAAGUGAAGGAGUUGCAGUUGUUACUGGAACUUGAUGCCAACAGUAAUAUACAUUUUAUGAGGACUAAAAUAAAGAACUUCCUAAUUGAAUGCCUUUUCCAAUGCGAUGAAUUAGAGAUUCCAGAACCAAUUCUGAGGGGUAUUUCCACUAUUAAUAGUUACUCGACAGAGUCAACUACUAGAGAAAAGAUUGAAGAUGAGCUGAUAUGUAUGCUUAACAUGAGCAGUUGCUUGAAGCAGCUUGUGUGGGAUCUAUCUGAACACCCAAACAUUGAUCAAGAAUUUUGGGGUGCGUACAAGGAUGAAUCAGAAACUGAUGGUGAUAGCAGUAAUGAUGAUGAUGAUUUUGAUGAUGAUCAUAUUGAUGACAAGGAAAAACAUUGUUCCAACUAUGAAGAGGUAGACAUAUUGGUUGGUAAUGUAUCUUUUGAAGCUACUCACAUGGAAAAGCAGGAAGAUGUUUCUGCGGCUAUGAGAAAAAGCAGUAUUACUUCUACGUUACCUAAUGGAAAACGUUUAUGUAAAGGAGAAAAAAUUUUAAGGGUGAUAUCUGACAAGUCUUUACCCGAGGAAGAUUUGCAUGUUUUACAGGAGCGCUGUCACUUCAUGCCAAUGGAUGAACCUUGUUUGCCCAAAAAACCUGAAUACUUGUUCCCAACUCUCUCUGAGUUAGCAAAACCAAGUAUAACCGAUUCUGAUCUAUCUGCACUGCAAGAUGUUAGUGGUAAUGAAUACCUCAUAAUUCAAGGCGUAUGCGAUGAGGUGAGUUUAUUUGCUCACAAGUUUAUUGGAUGUUUACUCGAGAAGCUUCUAAAGGUUGAAGGCAAUCACCUAGAUUCUGCUUCUAGAUCGUAUCUCCUGGGUGGUACAUCAGUCCCUGAAAAACGCAAAGGAAAGAUGCAAAAGUCCCGCUGCAAAGAUAUGGAUUGUCUUGCUUUUAUCCAAACCGUCAAUGAACUGGUGCCUUCUUUUCCACAGAGUGGAAUGAGAAGACUACUGGAGGUGCUGAAGCAAUCAUAGUGUUUCAUCACUGUUUGAAGAUAUGGUAAUGACUAUGCUGUUAUGUCAUUGGAAAAAAAUUGAUGGUGACCCAGUCUUAUGCCACUUGCAGUUCCUGGUACAUUUUACAUUGUGUUUUGUUUGUUCAGUCUGGUUGAGUUCAUAGAUGCAGAAGUUGAAUUGUCACCCAACAGUGAUGCUGCCACAUAUUGAUUGUUAUGCAAACGGAGUCCUUAUAUGUAUAUAAACGAGCGACAGACAAUUGCGUCUACAUUUUUGUUCAAGGGGAUCAUGCAUGUCCCUGAUAUCAUGAGAGAUAAGAAAGAGAGAGAAUUGUUUUCCGUAGUUUUGCCUACAAUGUUUGCUAUUUAACUAGUGUAUGGAGGCGCUUAAGUUAAAAAGCAGUAGGUAUGAUAGGGCACACAGCAUCUAAAGGUACAAGUCUCUUUACAUAUUUAUAUAGAAGGAAAGUAUUCUUGGCUUGAUGAGCUUAUUGUUCAAUCACAAAAGGACAUCUUGCUAUUA